AUGUUUUUAUGGAAUUCUAUUUGUCUCCUGCACCAUAAGAAUAUUUAUAUAUUCAAUUGAUUUCACUGGGGUGUCCCCAAACUGUACUAUGCUGUGGUGGGUUUUUACCUGUUUGCCCCGGUUUGGGCAAACUGGUAGUGGUGGCAAUGGGAGGCUCUGCCCAACUGCCCGGACAUCAUCACGGACAAUCCGCGCAUGCGCUCCCAGUCUUAAAGCGGUAGUAAAGGUGCCCAUAUUUGGUAUCCGUCUGGGGCGAAAUGUCAUCUUACAACAUCAUCUAUCUUUUCAAUACCAACUUAGCAAUGAUCCCAAAAGAUCAUGGGAAAAGAGAUGACAGGAACGGGAAGCCAUAGUUUGAUCUCAAGGAAGAGUUUCCACUAGGGAGAAAAAAAGGAACACUACUUGGUCUACUCGCCAGCACACUACCAUACUACCAAGAUACAUCAUCAUUGCUAUGUCAUCUUCAUAUUAAUAAGUUCAGUAUUAUAUUUAUUCCUUUUUCUUCAAAUGAAAAUAACAGCAGAUGCAGCAGCUUGUGGAAACACAAAUAAAAUUUGACGCAUAUAGACACGCUGGCCCCAUGACCACAGAAAUGUCUUCAGACAAUGCUGGCUU